AUGAGAGAUCAUACCAACAGUAACUCAUUGAAUCCCAUCAAAACUCCUAAGUUAAACAUGUUUGGGUGAGAGUAGCACUAGGAUGAGUGACCCCUUGGGAAGUCCUCAUGUUGCAUUUC
rnacentral:rRNA from 1 species